UACGUAGGGUGCAAGCGUUGUCCGGAAUUAUUGGGCGUAAAGAGCUCGUAGGCGGUUUGUCGCGUCUGCUGUGAAAACUGGAGGCUCAACCUCCAGCCUGCAGUGGGUACGGGCAAACUAGAGUGCGGUAGGGGGAGAUUGGAAUUCCUGGUGUAGCGGUGGAAUGCGCAGAUAUCAGGAGGAACACCGAUGGCGAAGGCAGAUCUCUGGGCCAUUACUGACGCUGAGGAGCGAAAGCGUGGGGAGCGAACAGG
rnacentral:rRNA from 1 species